rnacentral:rRNA from 1 species
CCUUCUUUUUCUCGCUUUUUUCGGAAUUACUGGGCGUAAAGCGCACGUAGGCGGCUUUGUAAGUUAGAGGUGAAAGCCCAGGGCUUAACCCUGGAAUUGCCUUUAAGACUGCAUCGCUAGAAUUGUGGAGAGGUGAGUGGAAUUCCGAGUGUAGAGGUGAAAUUCGUAGAUAUUCGGAAGAACACCAGUGGCGAAGGCGACUUACUGGACACAUAUUGACGCUGAGGUGCGAAAGCGUGGGGAGCAAACAGGA